rnacentral:misc_RNA from 1 species
GAUGAAGAACGCAGCGAAACGCGAUAUGUAAUGUGAAUUGCAGAAUUCAGUGAAUCAUCGAAUCUUUGAACGCACAUGGCGCCUUCCAGUAUCCUGGGAGGCAUGCCUGUCCGAGCGUCGUUUCAACCCUCGAGCCCCCGUGGCCCGGCGUUGGGGAUCUGCCCAGGCAGUCCCCGAAAACCAGUGGCGGACCCGUUACAGGCCCUUCCCUUGCGUAGUAGCAUUCGCCUCGCAUCGGGAGCCGGCGGGCUUCCAGCCUCUAAACCCCCAUCAAGUCCGCCCCGGCGGCACCAAGGUUGACCUCGGAUCAGGUAGGAAUACCCGCUGAACUUAAGCAUAUCAAUAAGCGGAGGA